UACGCUCUCGCCACCUCUCUGUCUCCGAAAGCUUGCCAUUUCUUUUUGAAGCUGUCUCUCAGUGGCUCGAUUUGAACGCUCUUCAAAUAAGUUCUUUAAAAAAUAAUAAUAAAGUAAUAAAUAUAUCCCAAGUAGUGGCUGCUGGAAAGCCGGGCUCCACCAGGCCUCAAGUUGAGUGUGUGUGGAAAAGUGAACCAGCCCCUAACGACCGCAGGGGCUCCGAGCUGUAAGAGAGUGACCGGAAAAAUGAUUCCAGUCCCUAACAACCUCAGCCGCCCCAUCUUCUCGUUUGCAAGCGAGAGUGGGCUGAAAAGUGCUUCUAUCCCCAACGAUCGUAGCAGCUCCAAACAGUAUGAGAGACAGUAAGGGGAAAAGUGCUAUCAGCCCUAAACGACCGUAGCGUCCCCUGAAGCUGUAUGACAGCUUAAGUACCGCUAGUUUGGAACAGCUUUUGAGCGAGAGAGAGUGGAGAAGUGAACUGUCCCCCAACGAUCGUAGAGCCCCAUGUAGAUAUGAGUUUACAUGUAAAUAAAUAUGUAAAAAGCAUCUCGUGUGUCAGCGAGAGUGAGCGGCAAAGUGCCGCCAUCCCCCAACGACGGCAGCCGACCGUAGGAAAAGUGCCAGGACCCAGGAGCAGCGUAUGAUUCUCCAAUGGACCAUCAAGCGACUGUGAAAGACCCCGCCCCUUUCCCCUUGGUAAGAAAUUCACAUCAGCGCAAUAAAGUUUGUAAUCGUGUUUUUUUUUAUUUGUAAGAAUUUUUUUUUGUAUUUUUUUACAGUUAGACGAAAUAAAAA